rnacentral:rRNA from 1 species
CCUACGGGUGGCAGCAGUGAGGAAUAUUGGUCAAUGGCCGAGAGUCUGAACCAGCCAAGUCGCGUGAGGGAUGACUGCCCUAUGGGUUGUAAACUUCUUUUAUAUGGGAAUAAAGUGUUCCACGUGUGGGUUUUUGUAUGUACCAUAUGAAUAAGCAUCGGCUAACUCCGUGCCAGCAGCCGCGGUAAUACGGAGGAUCCGAGCGUUAUCCGGAUUUAUUGGGUUUAAAGGGAGCGCAGGUGGAUUGUUAAGUCAGUUGUGAAAGUUGGCGGCUCAACCGUAAAAUUGCAGUUGAAACUGGCAGUCUUGAGUGCAGUAGAGGUGUGCGGAAUGCGUGGUGUAGCGGUGAAAUGCAUAGAUAUCACGAAGAACUCCGAUUGCGAAGGCAGCUCACCGGACUGCAACUGACACUGAGGCUCGAAAGUGUGGGUAUCGAACAGGAUUAGAUACCCGAGUAGUC